GAUGAAGAACGUAGCGAAAUGCGAUAAGUAAUGCGAAUUGCAGAAUUUCCGUGAGUCAUCGAAUCUUUGAACGCACAUUGCGCCCAUUAGUAUUCUAGUGGGCAUGCCUGUUCGAGCGUCAUUUCAACCCUUAAGCCUCUGUUGCUUAGCGUUGGGAGCCUACCUACCCGGUAGAUCCUCAAAGUUAGCUGGCAGGGUCGAGGUUCGCCCUAAGCGUAGUAGUUCUUUCUCGCUUCUGCGGCUGCCUAGGCCAUCGCCACAAGCCUUUUAAACUUCAAUGGUUGACCUCGGAUCAGGUAGGAAUACCCGCUGAACUUAAGCAUAUCAAUAAGCGGAGGA
rnacentral:misc_RNA from 1 species